CAACCUUUGAAUUCCACUUUCAUUGGUUAGAUUGAGCAUAGACAGAAGCACCAAACAAACAGAACCACUUACUAAUGAAUGGGAAUACUAAAUAGUCACAUGAUAACCCUGGGCAAACAAAGGUCUAAACUUACUGCUUCAAUAUGUGGCAAGAUGCAGGUACUGAUCAUCAAGGCCAGGAGGUGGACGGAGACUAAAAGUGAGGUGACGAUACUGAACAAGAUUAUUAGCCCUUUUGGAACAUCUUUGUCGAUGCUGAUCUCCACAAGCGCAACCUAACCAGCAGUCCAUGCAGAUGUCUGGCUGGCAUUUGAUCACAAUGUGAAGCUACACUAACAUUGGAAUUCGAUGACAGUUUGAGGCUUUUGGCAUCAGUUUCACAUCAAAGUCAGACAAUAGAGUUCUAAGCUAGUGUUCAAGCUCCACUUUCCUAUUUCAACUAGUCAGUAUAGGAGCUUUCAAAGGUUUUAACCUCCAAGGUGUGCCAAAAGGAGGAGAAUUACCCACACCAGGUUAUAUGCUAAAUAAGUUUGGGAAUCAGACAAAAAAUAACUUUUGACUAUUGGAGAUUGAAACCAAGCAAUAAUCAAUUAAAAAUCCAGACAACAUCUUAUUUAUUGCCUGGGUUGGGAGUGGAGGUGGUUGCUUCCCAAAUAUUGCGGCUGAUAAAACCACUGGCAAAAUCAUAUUUUUUGCUUUGAAAGUAUAAUUUAGCACAGCCUGAAAAUUUAUAGCCAAUAUAGGCCUGAUCGUCUGUGACUUAAGAAAUGACUGUGAGGGGUACUGUGCAAUUAACGACUGGUUAAUGAUAUUGAAUCAAUUAGAUGUCAUCAAAGAUAAGUGGAGUAAAAUUAACAAUGACAGUACAUGUAUGUGCAAACUGCAGUUGACUAAUUAAAGUUGUAUCACAUUUAUCUUUCAGAGAAGAUAAAAAAGAACAAUGUGUUUACUCAAA